rnacentral:rRNA from 1 species
AACCAUAGAGGGAAGGAUCACCCGAUCCCAUUCCGAACUCGGUAGUUAAGCUUCCCUUCGCCGAAAGUACUGCGGUGUAGUCCGUGGGAGGAUAGG